rnacentral:rRNA from 1 species
UACGGGGGGGGCAAGCGUUGUUCGGAAUUACUGGGCGUAAAGGGUUUGUAGGUGGCUUGCUAAGUCAGACGUGAAAUCCCUCAGCUUAACUGGGGAACUGCGUCUGAGACUGGCAAGCUCGAGUGCAGGAGGGGAACGCGGAAUUCCAGGUGUAGCGGUGAAAUGCGUAGAUAUCUGGAGGAACACCGGUGGCGAAGGCGGCGUUCUGGACUGCAACUGACACUGAAAAACGAAAGCCAGGGGAGCAAACGGG